GUGAGUAACGCGUAUCCAACCUUCCCAUGACUAAGGGAUAACCUGCCGAAAGGCAGACUAAUACCUUAUGGUCUUCACUGACGGCAUCAGAUGUGAAGUAAAGAUUUAUCGGUUAUGGAUGGGGAUGCGUCUGAUUAGCUUGUUGGCGGGGUAGCGGCCCACCAAGGCAACGAUCAGUAGGGGUUCUGAGAGGAAGGUCCCCCACAUUGGAACUGAGACACGGUCCAAACUCCUACGGGAGGCAGCAGUGAGGAAUAUUGGUCAAUGGGCGAGAGCCUGAACCAGCCAAGUAGCGUGCAGGAUGACGGCCCUAUGGGUUGUAAACUGCUUUUGUAUGGGGAUAAAGUCAAUCACGUGUGAUUGUUUGCAGGUACCAUACGAAUAAGGACCGGCUAAUUCCGUGCCAGCAGCCGCGGUAAUACGGAAGGUCCGGGCGUUAUCCGGAUUUAUUGGGUUUAAAGGGAGCGUAGGCUGGAGAUUAAGUGUGUUGUGAAAUGUAGACGCUCAACGUCUGACUUGCAGCGCAUACUGGUUUCCUUGAGUACGCACAACGUUGGCGGAAUUCGUCGUGUAGCGGUGAAAUGCUUAGAUAUGACGAAGAACUCCGAUUGCGAAGGCAGCUGACGGGAGCGCAACUGACGCUGAAGCUCGAAGGUGCGGGUAUCGAACAGGAUUAGAUACCCUGGUAGUCCGCACAGUAAACGAUGGAUGCCCGCUGUUGGUACCUGGUAUCAGCGGCUAAGCGAAAGCAUUAAGCAUCCCACCUGGGGAGUACGCCGGCAACGGUGAAACUCAAAGGAAUUGACGGA
rnacentral:rRNA from 1 species